rnacentral:lncRNA from 1 species
AUUUCUCUCACUAUUCAUUCUCUCUCUCCCGUCUCUUCUCAUCCACCCCACCCCUACCGCAACAAUCAUCCUCUAUGACUCCAAUGACUACCCAUUUCGGCAACAUUGUGAGGCCACUGAUGACGAAUCCGACAAUUCAGCAGUGCGAGACUCCAAUGAUUUUUUGUUGACGGAGACUGGUGGCAAUAUCAAAAGAAUGCUGACUUUGGAGUGGGCUUUCCGACGUACUAGAAUGUGCAGAUGGAGGUGCUCAAAGCUCGGGACAGAGCGAGGUAUGCUCGAAUCAUUGGUAUCUCAAAUCUGUGUUUACCACCGUGAUUUGAAACCAAAAAAUCUACUAUUGGUUGAGAAUGAAAUCUAACGAUAUCUGAUUUUGGGUUAAGUGCAUUGGCUGCAACAAUAAAUGUGGGUUAAAAAGACUGUUGUAUAUCUUGACAUUUUUGCUAUGUUGAAAGGUGAAAGAAGGAUGGAUUUGAACUUCUUAGGAUGAACGAAGCGAAUUUUUUGAUUUGGCUACAACGAUGAAGGGUGCUUAGUUUUUUUAAUCUUGUUUAGCCAAAGUUCUGUGGUGACCUCAUGUGACCAAGUAUGUGUUUUUGUGACUGUUCAUGAUCAAUUUUUUGUUGAUUGUGACUUAGUCACAGUUAAGAUUGACAUGAUCACAAACAGUCAUAUUGAAUACAAAUUUAAUCAUAGUUAGACAUAUCAAAGACAAAUUUGAUCGCAUUUAAUUACAGAUAACAUAGGCUAGUGAAUUGGUUACGUACAGUUACAAAUUAGACAUUCACAAUGAAAACAAGUUUGAUCACAAAACACAGGCAUAGUCACGAACAAUAAAUCUGGACACAGAUAAAUUUUUAGAUAAUGGGUUAAAAAGACUGUUGUAUAUCUUGACAUUUUUGUUAUGUUGAAAGGUGAAAGAAGGAUGGAUUUGAACUUCUUAGGAUGAACGAAGCGAAUUUUUUGAUUUGGCUACAACGAUGAAGGGUGCUUAGUUUUUUUAAUCUUGUUUAGCCAAAGUUCUGUGGUGACCUCAUGUGACCAAGUAUGUGUUUUUGUGACUGUUCAUGAUCAAUUUUUUGUUGAUUGUGACUUAGUCACAGUUAAGAUUGACAUGAUCACAAACAGUCAUACUGAAUACAAAUUUAAUCAUAGUUAGGCAUAUCAAAGACAAAUUUGAUCGCAUUUAAUUACAGAUAACAUAGGCUAGUGAAUUGGUUACGUACAGUUACAAAUUAAACAUUCACAAUGAAAACAAGUUUGAUCACAAAACACAGGCAUAGUCACGAACAAUAAAUCUGGACACAGAUAAAUUUUUAGAUAUUUUUUUACAAUGGAGCAUAUAGAGAAAUUUUUUUCUAUCACCAGAGUCGGAGCGAUCGCCGGAGCCAAUGCUCAUCUCAAGUGGAGAUGUGGAGAGAAGAUGAUAUAG